rnacentral:rRNA from 1 species
GAUGAACGCUAGCGGCAGGCCUAACACAUGCAAGUCGAGCGGGGUUGAGGCGAGAGGUAACUCGAACUUCUACCUAGCGGCGGACGGGUGAGUAACGCGUGGGCAACCUGCCUCAAGGUUUGGGAUAACAGCCCGAAAGGGCUGCUAAUACCGGAUAUGCCUGUGGCCUCGCAUGGGGCUAUGAGCAAAGGGGAAACCCGCCUUGAGAUGGGCCCGCGUCCCAUCAGCUAGUUGGUGAGGUGAAGGCUCACCAAGGCGACGACGGGUAGCCGGCCUGAGAGGGUGACCGGCCACACUGGGACUGAGACACGGCCCAGACUCCUACGGGGGGCAGCAGUGGGGGAUCUUGCACAAUGGGCGAAAGCCUGAUGCAGCGACGCCGCGUGAGCGAAGAAGGCCUUCGGUUGUAAAGCUCUGUCUGAGGGACGAAGGAAGUGACGGUACCUCCGGAGGAAGCCACGGCGUAACUACGUG